GACGAACGCUGGCGGCGUGCUUAACACAUGCAAGUCGAGCGGUAAGGCCCUUUCGGGGGUACGACGAGCGGCGAACGGGUGAGUAACACGUGGGUGACCUGCCCUUAGCUCUGGGAUAAGCCUGGGAAACUGGGUCUAAUACCGGAUAUGACUCCAUAACGCAUGUUGUGGGGUGGAAAGCCUUGUGCGGCUAGGGAUGGGCCCGCGGCCUAUCAGCUUGUUGGUGGGGUGAUGGCCACCAAGGCGGCGACGGGUAGCCGGCCUGAGAGGGCGACCGGCCACACUGGGACUGAGACACGGCCCAGACUCCUACGGGAGGCAGCAGUGGGGAAUCUUGCGCAAUGGGCGAAAGCCUGACGCAGCGACGCCGCGUGGGGAUG
rnacentral:rRNA from 1 species